rnacentral:pre_miRNA from 1 species
GAGACACCCAUAUGGAGUAGGACUUGCUUUAGUGGGGCUUUGGUGUUCACUGAGUCUUCCCCUUGAGUGUGUUGCU